rnacentral:rRNA from 1 species
UACGAAGGGGGCUAGCGUUGUUCGGAAUCACUGGGCGUAAAGCGCACGUAGGCGGACUCUUAAGUCAGGGGUGAAAUCCUGGAGCUCAACUCCAGAACUGCCUUUGAUACUGGGAGCCUUGAGUUCGGGAGAGGUGAGUGGAAUUGCGAGUGUAGAGGUGAAAUUCGUAGAUAUUCGCAAGAACACCAGUGGCGAAGGCGGCUCACUGGCCCGAUACUGACGCUGAGGUGCGAAAGCUAGGGGAGCAAACAGG